AGAGUUUGAUCAUGGCUCAGGAUGAACGCUAGCGGCAGGCUUAAUACAUGCAAGUCGAGGGGCAGCAUGACCGUAGCAAUACGGUUGAUGGCGACCGGCAAACGGGUGCGGAACACGUACACAACCUUCCUUUAAGCGGGGAAUAGCCCGGGGAAACCCGGAUUAAUACCCCAUAGUAUAUUGAAGAGGCAUCUCUUUAUUAUUAAAGAUUUAUCACUUGAAGAUGGGUGUGCGGCUGAUUAGCUAGUUGGCGGGGUAAUGGCCCACCAAGGCAACGAUCAGUAACUGGUGUGAGAGCACGACCAGUCACACGGGCACUGAGACACGGGCCCGACUCCUACGGGAGGCAGCAGUAAGGAAUAUUGGUCAAUGGACGCAAGUCUGAACCAGCCAUGCCGCGUGGAGGAUGAAGGUCCUCUGGAUUGUAAACUUCUUUUAUCUGGGACGAAAAAGGGCCUUUCUAGGUCAACUGACGGUACCAGAUGAAUAAGCACCGGCUAACUCCGUGCCAGCAGCCGCGGUAAUACGGAGGGUGCAAGCGUUAUCCGGAUUCACUGGGUUUAAAGGGUGCGUAGGUGGAUUGGUAAGUCAGUGGUGAAAUCUCCGGGCUUAACCCGGAAACUGCCAUUGAUACUAUCAGUCUUGAAUACCGUGGAGGUCAGUAGAAUAUGUCAUGUAGCGGUGAAAUGCUUAGAUAUGACAUAGAAUACCAAUUGCGAAGGCAGCUGGCUACACGAGCAUUGACACUCAGGCACGAAAGCGUGGGGAUCAAACAGGAUUAGAUACCCUAGUAGUCC
rnacentral:rRNA from 1 species